GCCGAAGUGGUGAAACUGGUAGACGCACCGGACUCAAAAUCCGGCGGGGGCAACCUCAUAAGGGUUCGAUUCCCUUCUUCGGCA
rnacentral:tRNA from 1 species